UUGAUGGAUCUGGACCUGCUGUUAAGCCUUGCAAUUUCCUGGAUCCAUCAUUUGACAAUGAAGAAGACUUUUUGAAGGCCGCUGAAAUUCAGUUGAAACAAUUCUACCAAAGAUGUACACAAAGGGAAGGAAAUUUCAGACUUCAUUUGGGUUAUAACAACGAUAAAGAAGACAAGUUUACUCUUUUCGUAGAAAAAGAACUUAUAGAUCAAUAAUUUAUUAAUAAUUUUGUAGAAAAGUGUGUGUCAUUGUGUUAAUUUUUAAUUUUA